rnacentral:rRNA from 1 species
AUUGAACGCUGGCGGCAGGCCUAACACAUGCAAGUCGAACGAGUGGCGGACGGGUGAGUAAUGUCUGGGAAACUGCCUGAUGGAGGGGGAUAACUACUGGAAACGGUAGCUAAUACCGCAUACCAUCAGAUGUGCCCAGAUGGGAUUAGCUAGUUGGUGGUGUAACGGCUCACCAAGGCGAAGAUCCCUAGCUGGUCUGAGGGGAUGACCAGCCACAAUGGAAAUGAGACACGGUGCAGACCCCUACUGGAGGUAGCAGUGGGGAAUAUUGCAAAAUGGGGGCAAGCUGAUUGCAGCUAUGCCGCGUGUUUGAAAAAGGACUUCGGGUUGUAAAGUUGUUGCAGCUCGGAGACGUUACCCGCAGAAGAAGCACCGGCUAACUCCGUACCAGCAGCCCUGGUAAUU